rnacentral:tRNA from 1 species
GGAGGGGUGGCCGCGUCGGCCGAAGGCGGUCUCCCGCUAAGCGACGGUGACGGCCCAAAAAGCUACCGCGGGUUCGAAUCCCGCCCUCUCCGCCA